rnacentral:rRNA from 1 species
GCUGGCGGCAGGCCUAACACAUGCAAGUCGAGCGGUAGCACAGAGAGCUUGCUCUCGGGUGACGAGCGGCGGACGGGUGAGUAAUGUCUGGGAAACUGCCUGAUGGAGGGGGAUAACUACUGGAAACGGUAGCUAAUACCGCAUAACGUCGCAAGACCAAAGUGGGGGACCUUCGGGCCUCAUGCCAUCAGAUGUGCCCAGAUGGGAUUAGCUAGUAGGUGGGGUAACGGCUCACCUAGGCGACGAUCCCUAGCUGGUCUGAGAGGAUGACCAGCCACACUGGAACUGAGACACGGUCCAGACUCCUACGGGAGGCAGCAGUGGGGAAUAUUGCACAAUGGGCGCAAGCCUGAUGCAGCCAUGCCGCGUGUGUGAAGAAGGCCUUCGGGUUGUAAAGCACUUUCAGCGGGGAGGAAGGCGUUAAGGUUAAUAACCUCACCGAUUGACGUUACCCGCAGAAGAAGCACCGGCUAACUCCGUGCCAGCAGCCGCGGCAAUACGGAGGGUGCAAGCGUUAAUCGGAAUUACUGGGCGUAAAGCGCACGCAGGCGGUCUGUCAAGUCGGAUGUGAAAUCCCCGGGCUCAACCUGGGAACUGCAUUCGAAACUGGCAGGCUGGAGUCUUGUAGAGGGGGGUAGAAUUCCAGGUGUAGCGGUGAAAUGCGUAGAGAUCUGGAGGAAUACCGGUGGCGAAGGCGGCCCCCUGGACAAAGACUGACGCUCAGGUGCGAAAGCGUGGGGGAGCAAACAGGAUUUAGAUACCCUGGUAGUCCACGCCGUAAACGAUGUCGAUUUGGAGGUUGUGCCCUUGAGGCGUGGCUUCCGGAGCUAACGCGUUAAAUCGACCGCCUGGGGAGUACGGCCGCAAGGUUAAAACUCAAAUGAAUUGACGGGGGCCCGCACAAGCGGUGGAGCAUGUGGUUUAAUUCGAUGCAACGCGAAGAACCUUACCUGGUCUUGACAUCCACAGAACUUUCCAGAGAUGGAUUGGUGCCUUCGGGAACUGUGAGACAGGUGCUGCAUGGCUGUCGUCAGCUCGUGUUGUGAAAUGUUGGGUUAAGUCCCGCAACGAGCGCAACCCUUAUCCUUUGUUGCCAGCGGUCCGGCCGGGAACUCAAAGGAGACUGCCAGUGAUAAACUGGAGGAAGGUGGGGAUGACGUCAAGUCAUCAUGGCCCUUACGACCAGGGCUACACACGUGCUACAAUGGCAUAUACAAAGAGAAGCGACCUCGCGAGAGCAAGCGGACCUCAUAAAGUAUGUCGUAGUCCGGAUUGGAGUCUGCAACUCGACUCCAUGAAGUCGGAAUCGCUAGUAAUCGUAGAUCAGAAUGCUACGGUGAAUACGUUCCCGGGCCUUGUACACACCGCCCGUCACACCAUGGGAGUGGGUUGCAAAAGAAGUAGGUAGCUUAACCUUCGGGAGGGCGCUUACCACUUUGUGAUUCAUGACUGGGGU